rnacentral:rRNA from 1 species
UGGGUAUAAUACCCGAUAGGUCUCUAUUGCUGGAAUGCAUCGAGAAGAGAGCUCCGGCGCCUAAGGAUGGGUCUGCGGCCUAUCAGGUAGUAGUGGGUGUAGCGUACCUACUAGCCUACGACGGGUACGGGUUGUGAGAGCAAGAGCCCGUAGAUUGAUUCUGAUACACGAAUCCAGGCCCUACGGGGUGCAGCAGGCGCGAAAACUUUACAAUGCUGGCAACAGCGAUAAGGGAACCUCGAGUGCCAGGUUACAAAUCUGGCUGUCUAGAUGCCUAAAAAGCAUUUCAUAGCAAGGGCCGGGCAAGACCGGUGCCAGCCGCCGCGGUAACACCGGCGGCUCGAGUGGUAACCGUUAUUAUUGGGUCUAAAGGGUCUGUAGCCGGCCGGAUAAGUCUCUUGAGAAAUCUGGCAGCUUAACUGUCAGGCUUUCAGGAGAUACUGUCUGGCUCGAGGCCGGGAGAGGUGAGAGGUACUUCAGGGGUAGGGGUGAAAUCUUGUAAUCCUUGAAGGACCACCAGUGGCGAAGGCGUCUCACCAGAACGGACCUGACGGCAAGGGACGAAAGCUAGGGGCACGAACCGGAUUAGAUACCCGGGUAGUCCUAGCCGUAAACGAUACUCGCUAGGUGUCGGCCACGGUGCGACCGUUGUCGGUGCCGUAGGGAAGCCGUGAAGCGAGCCACCUGGGAAGUACGGCCGCAAGGCUGAAACUUAAAGGAAUUGGCGGGGG